rnacentral:rRNA from 7 species
GACCUCGGAUCAGGUAGGGAUACCCGCUGAACUUAAGCAUAUCAAUAAGC